rnacentral:rRNA from 1 species
GAUGAACGCUAGCGAUAGGCUUAACACAUGCAAGUCGAGGGGCAGCGAGGAUUAGCAAUAAUUUGUCGGCGACCGGCGCACGGGUGAGUUACACGUAUGCAACCUACCCAUAACUGGGGAAUAACCCGUCGAAAGGCGGACUAAUACCGCAUAACAACAGUGAUCCGCAUGGUGAACUGUUUAAAGAUUUAUCGGUUAUGGAUGGGCAUGCGUUCCAUUAGGUAGUUGGCGGGGCAACGGCCCACCAAGCCUGCGAUGGAUAGGGGUUCUGAGAGGAAGGUCCCCCACCCUGGUACUGAGACACGGACCAGACUCCUACGGGAGGCAGCAGUGAGGAAUAUUGGUCAAUGGGCGAGAGCCUGAACCAGCCAAAUCGCGUGAAGGAUGAAGGUAUUAUGUAUUGUAAACUUCUUUUACAGGGGAAUAAAGUGCACCACGUGUGGUGUUUUGUAUGUACCCUAGGAAUAAGGAUCGGCUAACUCCGUGCCAGCCGCCGCAGUAACAC